GACAGAGGGUGCGAACGUUGUUCGGAAUUACUGGGCGUAAAGCGCACGUAGGCGGCUUUGUAAGUUAGAGGUGAAAGCCCGGAGCUCAACUCCGGAACUGCCUUUAAGACUGCAUCGCUUGAACGUCGGAGAGGUAAGUGGAAUUCCGAGUGUAGAGGUGAAAUUCGUAGAUAUUCGGAAGAACACCAGUGGCGAAGGCGACUUACUGGACGACUGUUGACGCUGAGGUGCGAAAGCGUGGGGAGCAAACAGG
rnacentral:rRNA from 1 species